UACAGAGGUCCCAAGCGUUGUUCGGAUUCACUGGGCGUAAAGGGUGCGUAGGUGGUGAGGUAAGUCGGAUGUGAAAUCUCCGAGCUCAACUCGGAAAUGGCAUUGGAAACUACCUUGCUCGAGGGUUGGAGGGGGGACUGGAAUGCUUGGUGUAGCAGUGAAAUGCGUAGAUAUCAAGCGGAACACCAGUGGCGAAGGCGAGUCCCUGGACAACUCCUGACGCUGAGGCGCGAAAGCCAGGGGAGCAAACGGG
rnacentral:rRNA from 1 species